rnacentral:pre_miRNA from 1 species
UUUAUCUGGGGAUUUUGUUAAAAUGCAGAUCCUGAUUCAGAAAGUCUGGAGUAGGCCUAAGAUUCUGCAUUUCUAACAAGUUCCCAGGUAACAUCCA